GAGGGUAUAGUUCAGUGGUAGAGCAUAUGUCUGGCAUGCACAAGGUCAUGGGUUUGAUCCCCAGUACCUCUG
rnacentral:tRNA from 1 species